ensembl:lncRNA
CGACUGAAGUGACUUAGCACAUAACUGAUUUACAGUGUUGUGUUAUUUUCAGGUAUGCAGCAAAGUGAGUCAGUUAUACAUAUACAUAUAUUCACUCUUUUUUAAGGAAAAAAAAAUUAUUUUCAACCUUGGGCCUCUUUUUACUUCUCGUUUUUUUGUCUCUAGCCUGACAGUCAAAUCAGGGAUUAUAAAAAGCAACAGGGAACCCCAAUUUGUGGACUGGAUUUCUUUUCAAAACCUGGACAGUUGACUGUUUUCUUCCAGGGAUGCUGGGUAGGUAGCAUCAGGGAGGGAAAAGAAAUCCCAGUGAGAACCAGCUUUUGGUGCUGCCUCUGGCACUGACUAGCUGUGUGAUGGACAGGGAAGCCUGGCAUGCUGUAGUCCAUGGGGUCGCAAAGAGUCGGACACGACUGAGCAACUGAAUUGAUCUGAACUGAGCUGUGUGAUUCCAGGUGAGUGAACUAGAGAGAUGAAUGCUGCCUGCCUGACCCUGACCUUCAGAACUACCUGCAUCCCCAGGAAGACCCGAGGUGCAGCCACUGCCUGUCACAGCCAGCCCCCAUCUGCCCCUGCUCCACCCCCACCCUCUUCAUGGGGGCGGGGGAGGGGGGGAGAAGGCACCUGGAGGCAAGCCAGACUGAACUGGUUCCUACUUGAACUGGGAAACGUGGAGAAAGGAUGCCAGGAUUGGGGACAGGGCGUAGAGGCCUCCCACACCCUGGAACAAGAUCUGUGUGGGCCACCCAUCAGCAGUUUAGGGACAGCCGAUGACGGAUCCCUGUGCUUUCUCCAGGGAGAAGAUAUACAGCCAAGAGAGACGAAAACCUGCGUCCACACAGAAGUCUCUAUGCAAGUGUUCAUGGCAGCAUUAUUCCUGAUGGCAGAAGACUGGAAACAACCCAACUGUCCACCAAUUGAUAAAUGUAGAAGAAAAUGAGAGAGUGAGCCAGGGAGCCUGUGGAUGAGUCCAUACCGUCAGCCUCCUGAAGACAGAGAAGAGAGAGAAAGAGGAUGCAUCUAGUUGGCAGAGGAGGACCUCCAGGGCAAUGAUGAGCUGGCUCCAGCAUGUGAGGUCCUGAAUCAGCCCACACUCAGCAUCUGUCCAAGCAUGACCCUGUGCCCAGAGCUCUAAGUGACAGACAUAGUUCGAAGAAUAAGACCCACUCACCUGAUGAGACAAUUAUGAUGACAAAAGAGAAUGUGUGUUCAACUGAGUAAAGUUCCAGAGGAACUCAGAGAAGAACCCCCCUACUUGAAGUGGGGUAAUGAGGGAAGAAGCCCUAGGUCAGAAUUUUAUUGCUUUCAAUCAAAGGCCAAGACACACAGAACAAAGA